UUUCGACAUCAUUCAUUUUGGUAAUAAUAGUCACCGCAUAGUGCCCCACCUACAUUCAUAAGAUAAGGAGUGAGUAAAAAAAAAGAAAAGAAAAAGAGAAAUAGAAACAAAUUCACCUUCACAAAAGCAGAGAUCAUCUACCUCUACUGCUUCACACUAUCUUCUUUUUCGGUCUUCUCCAGACCAUCAUUGAGGAGCAUACCUGUAAAAGCACGGUUGCAGUUUUUCCAACUAUCGAAAAUCUCCUUGGUGGCUGAUGAACCCUGACCUUAUUCCUGAUCCAUCAAUUCUCUAGCAGAAUCCAACUCUGCUAAUACCGAGCC
rnacentral:lncRNA from 1 species